GCGCCAUUUCAACCAUCAAGCCCCCGGCUUGUGUUGGGGACCUGCGGCUGCCGCAGGCCCUGAAACCAGUGGCGGGCUCGCUAGUCACUCCGAGCGUAGUAUACAUCUCCGCUCAGGGCGUGCUGCGGGUUCCGGCCGUUAAAAAGCCUUAUUUACCCAAGGUUGACCUCGGAUCAGGUAGGAAGACCCGCUGAACUUAA
rnacentral:misc_RNA from 1 species